GUUGAGAGGAAUGUUGUCUGGCUCGAGGUCAUGAAGAAGAUCAUUAUAGAUUGAUUCAUCUUAAAGAAUGAAAACCCUAAAUGAUUCUCGGACCAGGCUUCAUUCCCCCCAAC